rnacentral:ribozyme from 11 species
AAUAUUCAUUUUAUAAAGAAUAAAAGAAAGAAAUAAAUAAAAUAAAUAAUUAAUUAUCAUGUUAUCACAAAUGUCCUUAGGAAUCCAUUAUCUUUUCUUUUUUUCUUAAUUAUCUUGGCAUUUAAUAAUUGCCUGUGAAUAAUCUCUUUCUUUUCUAAAAGAACAGGCAAUUAAUGCCAAGAUAAAGAAAAAAGAAAAGUGGA